UUGCUUCUGCAGCACAUAUACUAAAAUUGGAAUGACACAGAGAAGAUAAGCAUGUCCCCUGCUCAAGGAUGACACACAAAUUCAUAGGGAGUUUCAUAUUAAA